GCGGNANGCUUUACACAUGCAAGUCGAACGGCAGCACGGACUUCGGUCUGGUGGCGAGUGGCGGACGGGUGAGUAACGCGUGGGAACGUGCCCUUUGGUUCGGAAUAGCCCCGGGAAACUGGGAGUAAUACCGGAUAAGCCCUACGGGGGAAAGAUUUAUCGCCAAAGGAUCGGCCCGCGUUGGAUUAGGUAGUUGGUGGGGUAAUGGCCUACCAAGCCGACGAUCCAUAGCUGGUUUGAGAGGAUGAUCAGCCACACUGGGACUGAGACACGGCCCAGACUCCUACGGGAGGCAGCAGUGGGGAAUCUUAGACAAUGGGGGAAACCCUGAUCUAGCCAUGCCGCGUGAGCGAUGAAGGCCUUAGGGUUGUAAAGCUCUUUCAGUGGGGAAGAUAAUGACGGUACCCGGAGAAUAAGUCCCGGCUAACUUCGUGCCAGCAGCCGCGGUAAUACGAAGGGGAC
rnacentral:rRNA from 1 species